rnacentral:rRNA from 1 species
GAUUAACGCUGGCGGCGUGCAUAACACAUGCAAGUCGAACGAAGGGGCGGAAGGGUGAGUAAAGCGUGAGUAACCUGGCGUAGAGAAGGGGAUAGCCUUUGGAAACGAAGAAUAAUACACUAUGCUCUAAGAUGGACUUGAGUCUGAUCCGUUAGUUGGUGGGGUAACGCCCAACCAAGACAGCGUUCAGUAGCCGGCUUGAGAGAGUGUACGGCCACCUUGGGACUGAGACACGGCCCAGACUCUACGGGAGGCAGCAGUGGGGAAUUUGGCACAUUGGGGGAAACCCUGAUGCAGCGACGCCGCGUGAUUUAUAAGGCCUUCGGGUUGUAAAAAUCUUUUCUAUGGGAAGCAGUACCAUAGGAAUAAGGACCGGCUAAUUACGUGCCAGCAGCCGCGGUAAUAC